UAUAAAGCACGACAAUAAUUAUAUCUUGGAAGCAAUAUCAUUUAAAUCAUUUUUUUAAGUAACGCCGAUAUCUUUAGCGCCAGAUAAAAAAAUUGGUUGCUAUUUAAAGGAUUUAUGAUUAUUUUUUCUACAUUUCCUUAAACAAGUAAAUAAGACAAUCGCUAUAUUUCUGUGUAAUAUUUUUUGAAGAAAAUAGAAUAAAAUUCUCAGAAAAAGUAGCAGUUCAAAACCUUAUUUCAUGAUAUAAUUUCAUCUGGAUUAUAUAAAUAACGUUAAAAUUUUGUAUUUGUCUAAUUUUGUAUUUGAUCGUAGAUACAGAUGAGAAAGUGAUUAAUUAAAAAUUAAUCAAAUCCAUUAGCUUACCUUCAAAAUCUCCUUCCUUGAUUGAUUAUAUUUUAUUAUCUUGCAUCACCAGUUGCUUCAACAUAUCCAACGUGGAGAGUUGUUAAUGCUAUUUAAUUAAUUCUCUCUCAGAUCGAGACGUUUUAAUUUUCGUUUAAUGUUAGUAUAAUUUGCAUUACGAUUAAAAUGUGACCUGCCGCAUUGGAAUAAAAUAAUAAUAAAUAAAUCGAAGUAUCGUACUUGUAUAUUGUACAUUGAAUGAAUCCGCUUCUAUCCGCUUCUUCUCAUUUUCGUAGAGAGUGAGAGUUUCAAGUAUGUCGAGGCCUUCGAAAGCUUUGGCAUGAAAACCAUUUAUAUUAUUGUGAUUGAGAUUCAAAAUAAGCAAAUGAUGGAGAUUUCUUAACGCAAUCGAUGGAACGAUUGCUAAAUAAUUCUGCAGAAAGUUCAACUUUGUCAAUUAGUUUCCUGAAACAAUGAAUAAAAUUAUUAAUACUCAAUAGAAUUUAUUAAGUUCGAAUCAUCGUUUAAUCUUUCAGUCAUUAUCAGUAGAUAUUUCUGUUCAAAUCUCUAACUUGAUUCGAAAUAUGAUUGAGUGAGAAUUAAGGUCGAAUUGAGCGAGAUAAUUUUUAUUUAGGAGAAAGCAACGAUACAAUAUCCUCUUUGAUACAAGAAAUUUCAAUCAUAUUCUAUUGAUCUUGACAGAUUUACUGAUUGAGUAUCACGAGGAUUUCUCAAUCGCAGCCAGAGUGCUAUUAAAUAUGUAACCUUGGAGCUUCGGUAAAUUAUUGUAUUUGAGUAUCAAAUAGAAAAUGACAAUAUUUGGUUUUCCCUUUAGGGCAUUUAUGGGUUUGGAGAUAUACGAUAAUUCGGUCUGUUGACAUAAGAUAUCCAAGUCAGCCUUUUUCAUAGUACAGGAACAGGUUAAGAUCUCGCGUUGAUCUAGACACUUUGAUAACUUUUUGCGCCAAACUGCUGGCCAGAAGGCAGAUGAACCAUGUUAACCUACACGCAACAUUAAAAGUUCUACUCGUUCUCAUAUUUUCUAUGAAUAUUUGCUUUCUUCGUUAAUUUCUUCCUCUACUUCAACUUUUUUUUUCUGUUUCUUUUCAUUUCUUUCCCGUCACCAUUCCUUCUUCAUUCUCUCCUUUUUCAUCGCCCAACUCAUCUCUAUCGCGACCCUCUGUUUCUUAUAUUUCUCUUUUCUCAUUGUGCCUCUCUUUAUUCCCGUACUUCUAGCCUGCUGCAUAGCUUCUGUUCUUCUCAUACUCACUGUUCGAUUCUCUGUACCGGUACUGAAAAAAAAAAACAGAAUACAUUCGUUCAAAUUGCUUUUAACUUUCGCGAAUGUACGAUAGAUAACGUAGAGAGAACAUCUUCGAAUUUCUUUAAUUCAAAAAAUUAUUUUCUUCUAAAGCGGAAUCUUGUAAAUGAGAAAAAAUCCAUUUUCGGACUUACUUUGCUAUAAAAUGAGUAAUUUCUUAUCUUCUCAAUGAAAAAUUGCAUCAUGAAAAAAGAUCGAGAUAUAAGUUCAUUAGCGCAAAAAAACUAGAACGUAUGUAAUAUUUAAUAGUAUAGGUUUUUUAAAUAGUAUAGGUAAUUAUACAUCAAUAUACAUUUUAUAUAUCAAGGUGUACUAUAUAUAAUCGUAGCACCGGAUGAUGCGGAUGACCGAAAACAAUGCGGUAGGUACACGAAGAAUAUAUAUUUCAAACGUUGCAAUUUAUUUUCAUAAGAUAGAGGCCAUACUACAGUGUGUAUACUUAAUUUUAAGAUCGUAAGGAAUUUACUAACUAGAAAAUUAAGAAAUAUGUUAGAAAUAGUAUACAAUGAAAACGAUACGCGAUAGGCCGCAGACGUUGCAAUUUUUAAUAGCUGAGAAAGCUAAUAAAGUUCAAUCAAUCAAUCAAUCAAUCAAUCAAUCAAUUUCCAAAUUCUACAUUAUGGAACAUCGGUACCGUUAAUCGAAUGGACCUUUCGAAUGUAAUUAUCAUGGAUCUCUAGAUUAUUUCAACUAUUGUACAAGCAAACGUCGCGACUAGAACUAAUAUCUUAUAUUUGUUAAUCUUUUUUAUAACACGUGUCUAUCAAUAAAACGGUCGAACAGUUAUGUCAUCAUAUACGAUGAAACUUUAGAUCUUUCAUUUGGUAAAGCAGAUAAAAUAAACUUAAACUAAUUGAAUAAUUAAGUUAUCCGUGCCAUUGACAGUUCUCGCAUGAAUAGAUUUAACUACAGAAGAAGAAGUGACAGCUAUUCCCAGUAAUAUGUCAUCCUUACAAUUUCAGAAUUUAUCCAUUAGCCUAUUAUCUUAAUAGCUGCCUAUUAAUCUAUUGAGCCAAACAAUUUACAAUAUCAUAGGAAGAGAAAUGUAAAUUACUGAUAAGAAAUUAAUCUGCAAUAAUGACAUGAAAGCAAUCUAUAAUACCGACUUAUGCAUAUCAAUGGAUUAAUUUAAAUACCGAUGUCAUAUAUAUCAAUAGAGCAAUUAGAAAUAUCGAUUAAGUAGAAUAUGGAGAUGCUUUCAUGCGUAUAUUCAAAAAAAAAACAAGAAAAGAAUUAUGACAUUUUCACAGGAACAGUAGAAACUGAAGAGAAUGAGAGCUCAUCAAACAUAAUAUUCUCUUCACUUCUGCCGGCUUUAUCCAAGCUUUUCACAUAAUGAUAACAAGAGAAACUCAGCUUUCAAUAAGUAAUUAAAAAAUGAAAUAGAGCAAAGUUAAUGACAUAUAAGGGAGAUUAAUUAUUCGAACAUUAAAUUCACGUAAUGAUUUUUCUCGUUGUAUGAUUGAAGACUUCGACCUCAAAGAUAAUAUAAUACAAAUGAAAAGAAGAAAUUUAUUUAAAUGAAAUAUUAUGGGUUCCACAUUAUGGGUUCACCUUAAUAAUAUAUACACGCAUACAUUCGUAUUUGUACAAUAAGAAUAAAAUAAUAGAGCAGAUAUAUUGAAUAUUAAAAAUGUAAAAGUUAAUAAAAUCAAACAGGCAAGUUCUACAACAAAUACUGAAAUUAUCACAAGUAAGAUAGUUGACCAGGCGAAGGAAAUUAACGAAACAAUUGAUCAUCAAAGUACGAACAGGAUGGUGAGGUUGUUGGUAACGUUUCAGAAUUACUAGAGAAAUUAUCUAUAAAUGAGAAAUCAAAGAGAAUCGGGUCUACAUCUUCAUGUAUUUUUUAACAGAAAAGUUCAAAAAUUAAAAAAGAGGAAACGGCAACAAUUCAAAAAUUAUAAAAAGAAAGAAAAAGGACAUAAGGAAUUGCUAAGUGCAUAGGUACGUUGUUUGUAAGAUUAGCAAAUAUUGUAAUUAUUAUUGCAACACGGUGUAUGAUGAAUAUGUGUGUGUGUGUGUGAAAGAAUGAGUGACAUAGAUAAUGAACGUGCAAAGUGAAGUGUGAAACAAAAUGUCGGCAAAGAGCACCGAAGUGAUGACAGAAAGCUUUAAAGAGAAAGAAAGACGAUAAGAGAUUAGACGAGAGUGAAUAGAAUAUUCGAGGACGAAUGUAAAUAUAUACAGAAUGGCGAAGUGCGAAACCGUUGUUGUCACAAUCUCAUAUUACGACGAUAUUCUUUCGAAUCUAAAUCGGCUUUCUGGAAUAAACGAUAUUAAAUCGAACGUGAUCAUAGCCGCGUUUAGAAUAUUUCGAGAGUUAUUAUUACGAUUCUCGAUCUCAUUUAUGAUUGUUUCCAAUAUCUUUAGAUUUUCACAUGUAUAUAUAUGUAGCAGCUAAAGGUUUUAAAAUGAUGUAACGUAGAAAUGAUGCAGUACCUAGUCUUCGAUAAUGUGUCGAGCAAAGCACCUAUUCUUCAAAUAUCAAUGCAACGCUCAUGGGUCCACACGGUCACCAGGAUAAAGGACCAAACAUGAGAUUGCUUAAACAUUUCGAAUGAACUAUCCAGACAUACCCACGAUCAAUAAGAAUAUUGCUUUCCCUUUCCAUGUACCUUUUACUUAAAUUCCUCUUUUUUUAUUUUCCUUUCCUAAUUUGUUAAUACCUUCUUGGAUAGUUCGAGAGAAAUCUAAAGACAGUGGUAUCCAAGCAUUCGCACUCAUUAGUAGGAUAACCGACUCUUACGAAUAUCAUUGGCUACGACUUUAACGGAUGUAAUCGGCACGAUAGAAAUCAUUACUACAUUCAUAACUGUAUCAUACUUCAACAAAUAUACUGUGAUAACUUCAAUUCAUGAUACAAUUCAUUAACGUGCAGUUACCUCACGAGUUCCCCGGGAUCUUUCAAAAAAAUUCGCGUUCUCCUAUUAAUUCGCGAGAACCGGAUCCGCGAACCUGGUCCGGUGCAGGACGCGUACUUUUGAAAACGCUCUCUUUAAACAGAGAUUUUGAUUUAUUUUCUCUAAAAGCAAAAGUAUGAAUCAUAUACGUAAUUUAAUUUUUUAAUGCUCGAAUAAGUAAAUAAUUUCUUGAAAAAUCUAUACAGAUCUACAAAUUAGAAUCAAAGAUAGUAGUCAUCAUAGUAGUCAUAAAAUAUUAUAUAAUAGAAAAAAAUAAUCGACGCUAUAUAUAUUAAAUUUGCUUAAUUAAUAAUAUUAUAUUAAUGCUAUUGAUCUUUAGUGUAGGGUAUAUAUAUGAUUGGGUAUGAUACCGAAAUUUGACGGAAAAAAUAUGCCACUAACUUCAUUUAUAAAGGCAUGUAAGAAAGCGCGACAAACGAUACAGGAAGAUCUCUUUACGAUUAGCUGCAAUACGUAAGUUGCACGAUUCCGCGUACUGUGCGAUCGAGAAGCACGAUCUUAAGACAAUGAGUUCGUUAUGUAACAGACUCAGAUGGACAUUAGGGACGCGUCAUUCACAAGAAUACUACAAAGCAGAGCUUUGAAAUAUACUAAUGAGAGAGAAUGAAUAAAUGAUAGAAUACAUCGGUAAAGUAAAAGAUCUCCAUGAGGCACUCAUGGAUGAAGAAGAUUAUUGGGAAGAAGCUUCCGAUGUAAAAAAGUGCGAGAUUGACGAACUCGCCCUCCAUAGUUUCUGCACCGGGCUACCAACGGAGUACUUUCCAUAUUUAUCGGCUCAUAAAUGUAGGGACCUUACAGACGCAUGCGACAAAGCAAUAGAAUUAUAUUCCGCAAUGGAACACGUCAGCACUUGCUUUCUUCGGGACGAUCCAGAGAGGAGGGAAACGAUACUGGCGUACGGAAACGGGUGUUGAAUCUACGGUUUCGAUCUUAUGAGUUAUGGUAUUUGUGAACUGAUUGUAGAUUUAUGCUCUGGAGAGCUCUCGUGUAACGUUCGCCAGAUAUGACAGAAGGUUUAUACCAAACUUCUCCGCUAUCAGCAAACCACUCACUAAUCUCUUGAAGAAGACAUACCAUUCAAAUGGGAGGAGAGCCAAGAGACGUCAUUCAAAACGUUAGUAAAUUUAUAAUGUCAAGAAUCACUAUUUCAAUACCCGGAAUUUUCAAAACUAUUCGUCGUUACAGCAGACGCAUCCAAUUACGCUAUCGGAGGAAUAUUAAGCCGAAGUGAAAUAGGGAAGGAUCUGCCUAUCGCAUAUACUAAAGCUCGAGAUUACUAAACCAAGCGGAACAGAACUGCUCGACCAUAGAGAAAGAAUUAUUAGCCAUUAUAUACUCAAUGAAUUAUUUCAGACCAUAUCUUUAUGGUACUAAUUUCUCUUUAGUAACAGACCACAGGCCCUUAGUAUGGCUGAAUUCCAUGAGAGACCCUACACCGAGAUUGAUACGAUGGCGAUUAAAGCUAGUCAAAUAUAACAUUGUACAUAAGGCCGGAAAGAGAAACGUAAACGCGGACGUUUUAUCUCGAAACCCCGUGGACCUCCAUAAACAACAAAUACUUCCGAUAGUAGGAACAAGCUCGAGUGACGAAGAAAUGUAUACAGUUAGAAAUAAACGCGCAAGCACUCAAGAGUCUAAAGAAUCUCAAGAUAAGGAAGCGGAUAAUAUAAUAAAAGAAACUGUUCAAGUCUCACCCGACGUAUACGAUAAGACAGACGAAACUAGUGACGUAAUUCCAACCGAAGAAACUUACACUCAUAUCGACAGCUAUCUAACAGAGAUAACAGACAGGAUGAUAAUGUAUAACGGGAAAAUUACCUUCUUUAUUACGACUAACGGAACUCUAGUAGAUCUAGACGCAAAAGAGCUAAUAGACAACCAUACAUUACCCACCAUCAUCGACGCAACCCUUGGAAGAAUAAAGAAAAAUGAAAGGUAUUUAACUGUGUUUCCCGCCAAGGAAAGAAUCUCACUCUCCAUUCAACUAGAGACCCUGGACGAAGUCCUUCAUUUUCUUCUUGACGUGGCCAUCGAACUACAAUUAAAAAUGAUAGCAAUCUCUAGGGGACCAGUGAGAGAUAUACCCUGAGCCGACGUAAAGCGCAAAAUUCGUUCGAUCUUUUUAGGUAGAGAAACAAUGAUCAUAAUAUUAAGGCAUGAGAUAGUGAUACCUAAGGAAACCAAACGAAUUGAAAUAAUACAUGACAAUCAUUCGAGGCCUGUAGGCGGACAUAAAGGUGUAUCGGAAACUUGCUCUAAAAUCCGACAAAAAUACUAUUAGGCAAAUUUAAAAAGAGAUAUUCAAAAUUAAAUACAGAAAUGAAGAAUUUGUCAAACGAAAAAGCUUGUUAGGUUAAAAACUCAUCAACCGAUGACUAUCACUGAAACGCCCGGGAAGGCGUUCGAUAAAAUAUCUAUGGACAUCGUAAAUCCGAUACCUACCACGAAAUCCGGACGUAGCUAUAUCUUAACAAUGCAAUCUUUUCAGUAAAUAUUCUAUCGCGAUUCCUCUUCAACAAGCUUCUUCGGAGGAAAUCGCUGAUGCAUUUAUUAAAAAUUUAAUAUGCCGAUUUGGCUCUCCAAAAGGUAUCUUGACCGACCAAGAUACUAACUUUUUGUCAGAAUGAAUGAAAGCCGUAGCUAGAAAGUCCCAAAGCCAUCAAUACCAGACAAGCGCGAACCACUCACAAUCAAACGGUUCGAUUGACCGAUCACACCACAUCCUCGUAGAAUUUUUGAAACCGAAAACAGCCCAAAAUGGGACGCGAUUGGAUUGAUGUGGCAAUGUUUUCAUAUAAUACAAGCGUACACUGUAGGAACGAUGUAUACACAUCACGAACUAAUGUAUGGCCAAUUAGCCAAAACACCGAACGAGUCAGAACAAAUUAAUAAGUCUCAGGAAGCCGCGAAACAAAAUUAAAUUAACGUUAAAAAUAAAUCAAAAAUAUAUUAUGGCAAAAAGCAACGAGUUGUCAAUUUUAAAAUAAGAAACCGAGUGUACUUUCUGAAAGGGUCACAUAAAGGUAAAUUCGAUGACAAAUAUGUCGGACUAUUCGAUGUAAUAGAAAUAUUAAAAAACACAAUAUAAAAAUACGUACCGAUAAUAGCAAUCGCAUAGUACACGCCAACAGACUCAAGAUUGUUAAAUCCAAAUAAAAAUCGGCAUCAUGGAAACUUGUAAUAACGACACACGGUUUUUCUAAGCGCAGCAUGGCGCAACGAUCGCUCUCCCUUCCAUGAUGACGGUUGGUAAGGUGGUCUCACCUUAGUCUAUAAGUUAGAAUAUAAGAGAUGUUAAACGAGCUAACGGCCUCAGCUACCUUUCGACGCUUUGCAAAACAGAACAGUCCAGAACUCGACAUAAAAUCCUUACAAUGAAAACCUUUAUUUCGAUGCUAACCUUAAUAAAAAUAGCAGUAGCACUGGUAGGGUACAAUUGCGCUACGCAAUUCCUGAAUAUUACUCGUAUCGUACUCUCUCCUACAUUGUGAGAUCCCGAAUCUCCAACCAAUUAAUAACACAGUUUACGUAGACUUACUACAGACUGCUGACUACUACUUCUUAAGAGUUUUACAAUGUCGCGUGGAGAUAUACCGCACGAUAUUUCAUUGCAGCAUGUACUCACACGCGUCCAUCGUUCAUAAUGGACGUCGAGAAUACUUAUUCAUAUUGACCCACCAAUUGUGCCAACAGCUGUACUUUACGGGCAAUCUCUCUCUAGACCCGAAGGCAUUCAUAUAAGUCCUAAAGAAAAACAGCAAUGACACAAGAAGUCUUACCCUGAAUGGUACCGCCACGACAGAUGGCACUUGCAAAGGUCUCAAUAUAGCAACCUCAAUGGAACAAGAGAUGACAUAGUAGUACAAGACUCCGUUAGGAUCACGCUACUUCGCCACUGUCAUGACAAAAGCCAAUCAAAUCCACCUAAAAUUUGGAACCAUAUGUGCAUUGGACGAGGAAGCCUGCCUCGACUCGAAUGAAAGCGAAAGUUACUGAUCAAACAUCUCAAUUGACAGCUGUGGCUUCCAUGAAUAUGACAUCCUUUAUGAAGGGUCAGCAAUGAAACUAACACCUGCCGAAUCAUCUCAAGGACCCAUACUUUACACAGUGCAGCAAAAGACGUUACGUUUACUCUAACAAGAACCAGCAAGUUUGUUUUAUGCAAAUAUUUUUUGCUCUAUCCGUAAAACAGAACACCUUAAGCUAUUCAUUAUAGAAACAUCACUUGGAAGAACAUUUAAAUGGAAGACUAAAACUUCCGUAGAGAACUCAGAUAUCCUUGCCUAUGUGAAUUCAAAAUUUAUAUAUGUAGAAAGACAUCUUAAGACACAACUAACCUCAUUAUAUGUCGACAAUACGCAACAAAAGUGUGUCUUAGAGCAAUAGGUUCUCAAAAAUGCUCUUUCUUUAGCAACAAUUGCACCCGAAGAAAUGGCUUAUGCCUUGAUGAAGCAGCCAGAAUACAUGGCGGUCAUCGCAGCAAAAGUAAUAUAUAUUAUAAAAUAUAUUCCUGUGGAAGUAAAGGUCAGGCAGACUGAGGAAUGCUGUAAGGAAUUACCGAUCACAUAUCGGAACGACUCAUAUUUCCUAGCACCUAUAACACGUAUCAUCCUGAAAGAAGCUUCACCAAAAGAUUGUAAUGAAUUAUUGCCCAACAUGUAUAAUCUACAUAGAACCUGAUAUAGAGUGACUCCGAAACUGAUCGAAUCAAUACCUCCCCCAGUAAUUCAACCUCUGACGAAGCCACAGUGGAGGUACAUCGCGACCCUGAACACCUGGGAACAAGCGGGGAUCUAAAUAAACUCAUGUCACACAUCAUGGAACCAGCUGAAAAACCCGCCAUUAUCGACACUCUUGCUAAAGAAGCUAGUGGGAGACAUAUACCUUCAGGCAAAAUUUCCUUAUAUAACCUAAUGGAUGAAGAAUCAUUAAGUAAGAUUGCAUUAAGUACGGCACAACGACUCUGGGGAACCUUCGUAACCUUCGAAUCAGCAAGCGCCGGAGUCUUGGCCAUUUUUAUGCCUCUUCGAUUAGUGAAGUUCAUCGUCGACAUACUCACUCAUGGGUACGGAUUACACGAUAUUUAUGAGUGGAGCCUACAUCUCCUAGGAGCCAUAUGGAGUUCAGUAACACACUUCCUCCUCCACCUUGCCAAAAGAGUGGAACAAGAAAAACCACCCAACACAAAAAUGGCACCCAAGACUACUGCCCUCCACGAGGAAAAGGGAGAAUCCGCAGCUGACGCGCUCGAUCGACCAAGCACAUUAUUCGAAUUAAACGCGUACUUAAAUAAAGAUAAAUAUUAAAAUGUACGUAUAUUUACGCACAUUUUCAAAUAAGGGGGAAAUUGUUACAUCCCACACCCCUCUCAUACUUAGAUUUAAAAACCUAUUAUCCACCUA